rnacentral:rRNA from 1 species
GACGAACGCUGGCGGCGUGCUUAACACAUGCAAGUCGAACGGAAAGGCCCUGCUUUUGUGGGGUGCUCGAGUGGCGAACGGGUGAGUAACACGUGAUUAACCUGCCCUUGACUUUGGGAUAACUUCAGGAAACUGGGGCUAAUACCGGAUAGGAGCUCCUGCUGCAUGGUGGGGGUUGGAAAGUUUCGGCGGUUGGGGAUGGACUCGCGGCUUAUCAGCUUGUUGGUGGGGUAGUGGCUUACCAAGGCGUUGACGGGUAGCCGGCCUGAGAGGGUGACCGGCCACAUUGGGACUGAGAUACGGCCCAGACUCCUACGGGAGGCAGCAGUGGGGAAUAUUGCACAAUGGGCGGAAGCCUGAUGCAGCAACGCCGCGUGCGGGAUGACGGCCUUCGGGUUGUAAACCGCUUUCGCCUGUGACGAAGCGUGAGUGACGGUAAUGGGUAAAGAAGCACCGGCUAACUACGUG